GGGCGUACAGCUCAGCGGUAGAGUGUAUACCUAGCGUGCACAAAGUCCUGGGUUCAAUCCCCAGUACCUCCG
rnacentral:tRNA from 1 species